rnacentral:rRNA from 1 species
GGUUGAUCCUGCCAGUAGUCAUAUGCUUGUCUCAAAGAUUAAGCCAUGCAUGUCUCAGUAUAAGCUUCUGCACGGUGAAACUGCAAACGGCUCCUUAAAACAGUUAUAAUUUAUUUGGUGGCUGACUAUUACAUGGAUACCUGUGGUAAUUCUAGAGCUAAUACAUGCGCCAAAGCCUGACUUCUGGAAGGGCUGUGUUUAUUAGAUACAGAACCAACCUAGGCUCUGCCUAGCCUUUUGGUGACUCAUAAUAACUGAAUGAAUCGCAUUGCUCUGCUGGCGAUAAACCAUU